GAACGGCUCAUUAAAACGGCUAUAAUUUAUUCGAACUAAUUUCCUAAACGGAUAUCUGCGAUAAUUUUGGAGCUAAUACGUGCCUCGAGUCAAUGGCCUCACGGCGUUGCGCACUUAUUAGAACAAGACCAAUCGUGCUUGCACGUUUUGGUGACUCUGAAUAAUUCGCUGAUCGCAUGGUCUUGUACCGGCGACGUAUCGUUCGAGUGUCUGCCUUAUCAACUUUCGAUGGAAGUCUAUGUGACUACCAUGGUUGUAACGGGUAACGGAGAAUAAGGGUUCGACUCCGGAGAGGGAGCCUGAGAAACGGCUACCACAUCCAAGGAAGGCAGCAGGCGCGUAAAUUACCCACUCUCAAUGCGAGGAGGUAGUGACUAUCAAUAACGAGACAGAUCUCUUUGAGGCCUGUCAUCGUAAUGGGUACAAUGUAAACCC
rnacentral:rRNA from 1 species